rnacentral:rRNA from 1 species
CCUACGGGCGGCAGCAGUGAGGAAUAUUGGUCAAUGGACGAGAGUCUGAACCAGCCAAGUAGCGUGAAGGAUGACUGCCCUAUGGGUUGUAAACUUCUUUUAUAUGGGAAUAAAAUGUUCCACGUGUGGGAUUUUGUAUGUACCAUAUGAAUAAGGAUCGGCUAACUCCGUGCCAGCAGCCGCGGUAAUACGGAGGAUCCGAGCGUUAUCCGGAUUUAUUGGGUUUAAAGGGAGCGUAGGUGGAUUGUUAAGUCAGUUGUGAAAGUUUGCGGCUCAACCGUAAAAUUGCAGUUGAAACUGGCAGUCUUGAGUACAGUAGAGGUUGGCGGAAUGCGUGGUGUAGCGGUGAAAUGCUUAGAUAUCACGAAGAACUCCGAUUGCGAAGGCAGUUCACUGGACUGCAACUGACACUGAGGCUCGAAAGUGUGGGUAUCAAACAGGAUUAGAUACCCGUGUAGUC